rnacentral:rRNA from 1 species
CANGGAGGGUCANGCGUUAUCCNGGAUUUAUUUGGGUUUAAAUGGGUGCGUAGGCUGAAUAUUAAGUCAGUGGUGAAAUCCUGUGGCUCAACCAUAGAAUUGCCAUUGAUACUGAUAUUCUUGAAUGCAGUUGAGGCAGGCGGAAUGUGUAAUGUAGCGGUGAAAUGCUUAGAUAUUACACAGAACACCGAUUGCGAAGGCAGCUUGCUAAACUGUGAUUGACGCUGAUGCACGAAAGCGUGGGGAGCGAACAGGAUUAGAUACCCUGGUAGUCCACGCCGUAAACGAUGAUCACUCGUUGUUUGUGAUAUACAAUAAGCGACUGAGCGAAAGCAUUAAGUGAUCCACCUGGGGAGUACGUCGGCAACGAUGAAACUCAAAGGAAUUGACGGGGGCCCGCACAAGCGGAGGAACAUGUGGUUUAAUUCGAUGAUACGCGAGGAACCUUACCUGGGUUUAAAUGUAGGUUGCAUGAGAGGGAAACUUCUCUUUCUUUCGGGACUACCUACAAGGUGCUGCAUGGUUGUCGUCAGCUCGUGCCGUGAGGUGUCGGGUUAAGUCCCAUAACGAGCGCAACCNCCUAUCGUUAGUUGCCAUCAGGUCAUGCUGGGGACUCUAACGAGACUGCCGGUGUAAACCGUGAGGAAGGUGGGGAUGACGUCAAAUCAGCACGGCCCUUAUAUCCAGGGCUACACACGUGUUACAA